rnacentral:ncRNA from 1 species
UCAAAUGCAAUGAAGAGAAGAGUAGAUAGAUGAAUUCUUUCACAGAGAGCUCCGUUCGCUGAAAAGGAGCAAGAAUCCGUUAUUGAACAAAGACUCAGAGCAGCACAUCGGAACUCCGUCAAACAGGGGGAUGGUGUGACAGGAGCUCCUGUUACAGAGCUAAAGUAUAAGCAUUACAUGUAAUGCCGUACUUGAAGAGGCUAAUAUGGCGACAUAUCGGCGAAUCUGGGGUGGUACCACGAGUUCAACAAUCUCGUCCCUAAG